CCAAUCACUCAGUGAAGAGCAUGUCAGAUUAUCACUGGGUUUGGUGCCUGCAGAAAGGAAGACAGCUUAAGUGCUACACGGGUCACAGAUGACAACAUCACAAUCAAUUCUGCUCCUGUCAUUGGACAACACAGAGAGAUGGCCGAAUGACUAGCCCUGAGGCCUUCACUGUGGCAGAAACAUGACUGAGGAGUACCGUGCUAUGCCCAGAGAGCCUGAGAGAAGUGCUGUUUCUCAGAUCUUAGCCUGGUUUGAAUCCCCCUGGAGCUCUCACUAUUGCAAACAUUUAUUGCCGCUGCCUUGUUCCCGAGUACUGCAUCCGAACCACCUCUGACUCUAUGGCAAUGGAUGUUCACUGAGUGAUUGGAGCACCCUCUUGCAUGUCCUUCCUGAGUGUAUUAAAGGAUAUUAUUGGUAGCCACUCCUAACAUUUCCUUAAAGAUCUCUUUAUAAAAGUCACCCUUCCUCAGCAGACCAAAUAGUCCUUCACGAAGAAGGAAAAUGAAUGAAGAAAGUCAAUGUUUUUAUUGAGGUUAUUAUCUGGGUGUAACACUUUUGGCCUACUGGUCUACCCAGGCGUAGGGCUAAAGAAUCCUUGCAAAUAGCAACGGACCAACCCCAUGCUACCGUGACUUUAUUAUAGGCAUUA
rnacentral:lncRNA from 1 species